rnacentral:hammerhead_ribozyme from 1 species
ACACUGCUGAGGAGUCCCACAAUAGGACAAAACGACCGUCCAGUAC